rnacentral:rRNA from 1 species
CCAAAAAGGCGGGCAGAGGCAGGAGAGUAGUAUGAAGCGUAGUUAUCAAUACAGAGGAGGGGGGGGCGGCCCUUCACGGGCUGCCAACUGGUCAACCCUUUGUGAACCAAAAAACCUUUCGCUUCGGCAGCUGGGCUCCCUAACCGGGCCUGUCAGCCUGCCGCUAGCACCCAACCAAAAAACCUGUUGUCAAACAUUGUCUGAUAACCAAAAUUUUCGAAUGAAAAUCAAAACUUUCAACAACGGAUCUCUUGGUUCCCGCAUCGAUGAAGAACGCAGCGAAACGCGAUAGUUAAUGUGAAUUGCAGAAUUCAGUGAAUCAUCGAGUCUUUGAACGCACAUUGCGCCCAUUGGUAUUCCUUUGGGCAUGUCUGUUUGAGCGUCAUUACAACCCCUCAGCUACCGCUGGUUUUGAAUUGGAACGGGUAACACCGCGCCGGUUUUAAAGUUGUAAGCUCUGCUGGCCGCUCUGCCCCAACCAGAACAUAGUAAGCAACUACUUGUUAGGGUGAAGCUGAACGGUACGGCCUGAACAAAACCUACCCUUCUCAAGGUUUGACCUCAGAUCAGACAAGGAUACCCGCUGAACUUAAGCACAUC